GGGGGUGUGGCCUGGUGGUAAGGUGCUUGCCUACCAUGUGUGAGGCCCUGGGUUCCAUUCCCAGCACCCUCC
rnacentral:tRNA from 1 species